UGGCACCGUUCAGCAG
rnacentral:miRNA from 1 species